CUUGAACUUUAUAAGAGGUCCAGCCUGCCCAGUGACUCUGUUCAACGGCCGCGGUAUCCUAACCGUGCGAAGGUAGCGUAAUCACUUGUUCUUUAAAUGUGGACUAGUAUGAAUGGCACUACGAGGGUUAUACUGUCUCCUUUUUCUAAUCAGUGAAACUAAUUUUCCCGUGAAGAAGCGGGAAUAUAACUAUAAGACGAGAAGACCCUAUGGAGCUUUAAACAACCCAGCAAUUACUUCUAAAACUAUAAAUUUCAGAAUAUUCAUUUUUUAAGUAAUAUGUCUGCAAGUUUUUGGUUGGGGUGACCAUGGAGAAUAACAUAACCUCCAUAUUGAAUGAAUUCCCUUCUAAGCUGAAAAUUACCUAUUAAAGCAUCAAUAUACUGACAUCUAUUGACCCAAUAUAUUUGAUCAACGAACCAAGUUACCCUAGGGAUAACAGCGCAAUCCGCUUCAAGAGUCCCUAUCGACAAGUGGGUUUACGACCUCGAUGUUGGAUCAGGGUAUCCCAGUGGCGCAGCC
rnacentral:rRNA from 1 species